rnacentral:rRNA from 1 species
AACACGUGGCUAACCUGCCCUUGGGACGAGGACACCCCCGGGAAACUGGGGCUAAUCCUCGAUAGGUGAAGAAUUCUGGAAUGAAUCUUCGCCCAAAGGGCGCUUACACUAUGCUUGUAGGCGUUGCCCAAGGAUGGGGCCGCGACCGAUCAGGUAGUUGGUGAGGCAACGGCUCACCAAGCCUUUUACCGGUGCGGGCCGUGGGAGCGGGAGCCCGGAGAUGGGCACUGAGACAAGGGCCCAGGCCCUACGGGGCGCAGCAGUCGCGAAAACUUUGCAAUACACGAAAGUGUGACAGGGCUAUCCCGAGUGCCAUCCGCUGAGGAAGGCUUUUACCCAGUUUAGAACGCUGGGGGAAUAAGGAGAGGGCAAGACUGGUGUCAGCCGCCGCGGUAAUACCAGCUCUCCGAGUGGUGUGGAUGUUUAUUGGGCCUAAAGCAUCCGUAGCUGGCUGGACAAGUCCCCNUGUUAACCCNCCGAUUUAAUCGUUGGUGUGCGGGGGAUACUGUUCGGC